rnacentral:rRNA from 1 species
CCUACGGGUGGCAGCAGUAGGGAAUCUUCCACAAUGGGCGAAAGCCUGAUGGAGCAACGCCGCGUGGGUGAAGAAGGUCUUCGGAUCGUAACACCCUGUUGUUAGAGAAGAAAGUGCGUGUGCGUAACUGUUCACGUUUCGACGGUAUCUAACCAGAAAGCCACGGCUAACUACGUGCCAGCAGCAGCGGUAAUACGUAGGUGGCAAGCGUUAGCCGGAUUUAUUGGGCGUAACGGGAACGCAGCGGUCAUGUAAGUCUGAUGUGAAAGCCUUCGGCUUAAGCGGAGUAGUGCAUUGGAAACUGGGAGACUGGAGUGCAGAAGAGGUGAGUGGAACUCCAUGUGUAGCGGUGAAAUGCGUAGAUAUAUGGAAGAACACCAGUGGCGAAAGCGGCUCUCUGGUCUGUAACUGACGCUGAGGUUCGAAAGCGUGGGUAGCAAACAGGAUUAGAUACCCUAGUAGUC